CCUACGGGUGGCAGCAGUGGGGAAUCUUGCGCAAUGGGCGAAAGCCUGACGCAGCGACGCCGCGUGAGGGAUGAAGGUCUUCGGAUCGUAAACCUCUGUCAGCAGGGAAGAACGGUCACUGUGCUAAUCAGCAGUGAAUUGACGGUACCUGCACAGGACGCACCGGCUAACUCCGUGCCAGCAGCCGCGGUAAUACGGAGGGUGCGAGCGUUAAUCGGAAUUACUGGGCGUAAAGCGCUCGUAGGCGGUAUGUCAAGUCAAGGGUGAAAUCCCCGCGCUCAACGUGGGAACUGCCUUUGAAACUGGCAGACUGGAGUGUGUGAGAGGAUAGUGGAAUUCCAGGUGUAGGAGUGAAAUCCGUAGAUAUCUGGAGGAACAUCAGUGGCGAAGGCGAGUAUCUGGCACAUAACUGACGCUGAGGAGCGAAAGCGUGGGUAGCAAACAGGAUUAGAUACCCGUGUAGUC
rnacentral:rRNA from 1 species